rnacentral:rRNA from 1 species
UACGGGGGGGGCAAGCGUUGUUCGGAAUUACUGGGCGUAAAGGGCUCGUAGGCGGCCAACUAAGUCAGACGUGAAAUCCCUCGGCUUAACCGGGGAACUGCGUCUGAUACUGGAUGGUUUGAGUCCGGGAGAGGUGAGUGGAACUGCGAGUGUAGAGGUGAAAUUCGUAGAUAUUCGCAAGAACACCAGUGGCGAAGGCGGCUCACUGGCCCGAUACUGACGCUGAGGUGCGAAAGCGUGGGGAGCAAACAGG